ensembl:piRNA 21ur-4143 ncRNA
UGAUAUUAAAAAAUUCAAUGA